ACCCCGCCUCCCGUGUCAUCUUCCCCUUCUCCUGUUCAACCGACAUGUGCCCGCGCAUUGCCGCCGAGCCCCCUCGCCGGCCACGCCGCUACAGCGCCGCGGGGGGAGAUAAGGAGGCCACUUCGCCUCCCCCUGGGAUAUUUAUCCCCUCUCUCUCUGUGGCCCACGCCUGCUCUAUCUCCCUUUGGCCUCGCCCUCUUCUCCAGAUCCGCCCGCACCCAAGCACCAUCGACGCCAUGGCUCCGUCCACGCGACAACCGGCUGCCCCUCUCCGCCUCUCCGUGUCCAGGAACUUUACCCGCCUCUUCUUCAUCAACGACGAGGAUCAAACGGACCCGGGCGAUGCCACAACUCGCGGAUCGAGCCGAUUCCCUCGUCUGCAUCACCGGCGUUCUUCGACGACUACAUCGCCCCCGCUGCUCCAAAGCUUCCACCGGGCCUACGUGUGCCUCCCCGACUACGAGACCGACACUGCUGCUGCCCAGUUCGACUACGGAGUUGACAACCCCUCCUUCUUGCCAGAGCAACCAGAUGUUGGAGCCCAGGAGCCAGACGCCACCGUCGACGACGACUCCUACUACACUGGAGGUGCCUACUACUACGUGCAGGCCGGUGAUGACGACCAUGAGUAGUUUAGGAGGAUCCCAGGCAGGAGGCUUGCGCCUCUUUCGAUCUGUUUCCCAAUUUGUGCUAGACAUCUUAUGGCAACUUGUUUAACUUAUGUCUGUGCUCAGAUAUUAUUGCGUUCGCUGACUCGUCUAUGAUCGAGUACUUGUAUUCGAGCCCUCGAGGCCCCUGGUUUGUAUUAUGAUGCUUGUAUGACUUAUUUAUGUUUUA
rnacentral:rRNA from 1 species